AGGACAUGAUUCCGUCACAUCGAAAUCAUAUAGAUUUUGCAAACACCCGCGUGAUCCUAAAAAAAAUUUGAGCGAGAAAAGGAGUAGAGUUAAAGAUUUCCUAAGACGGAAGCCUCACCAGAGCAAAGAAGAGGAGAAAAAUGAAACCUACUCUCCGAUAUAACUAAGACUCAAAACAUUUACUAGACUCGACUCGGCCAAAUACGAUCACACAAAGGCUCCUAUGGUCGUAAGGCUCUGAUUACCAACUAGUAACGACCAAGAUGCGGUCCUUUCCGAUCUGGGGGUCGAGG
rnacentral:lncRNA from 1 species